AAGAAGAGAGGAGAAGAUUAAGAACGAUAUCGAAUCCCUUAUUCCUCUAAAAAUUCAAUCGUCCAUAACUUUCAAUCCGGAGCUCCGAUUGAUGAGCCAUCAGCAGCCACACGUUCGUCUCAAAAUUUUCUACAAAAUCCACUAAACAAUUUAGUAAGAGAGUCAUGUUUUUUCACCCAGUUCUCCCCUCUUCAAUUCAUGAUUUUGGGUUUUAGUAUUGAGAGAUUUUGUGAUUUUGAUGGUUUAGGGGUACUCUAGUGGUAGAUAAUCACUGGAUUUUUUCUAUUUGACUCGUGGGUAACGAUUGUGUAUCUUGUUGAAUUGGAGUUAAAUUGGUGGAUAUUGGAAGCUUGGAAUUGAAUCCUCAGAGCUGAAAAUUCAAUUGAUAAUGAGUUGGAGCUUGGAGAUUGAGCAACGGUGGAUAAUUGAGGUGUUUCGGGCUUAUGGAGGAAUCAGACAAGAUGCAUGACGUGAAGCACCGUACUGAGCAUUUUGGAGACUCUUGGGAGCAAAGAACUAUUUUGGGACUUGGUGUUUGUAUUUGGUUUAUGUUUAUAUAUGUGUAUAGAUUCUCCAUCUUGUAUAUAUAAAGAUUUUGACUCUCUUAGAGGUUGACUU